CCUACGGGUGGCAGCAGUGAGGAAUAUUGGUCAAUGGGCGUAAGCCUGAACCAGCCAAGUCGCGUGAGGGAUGAAGGUUCUAUGGAUCGUAAACCUCUUUUAUAAGGGAAUAAAGUGUGGGACGUGUCCUAUUUUGUAUGUAACUUAUGAAUAAGGAUCGGCUAACUCCGUGCCAGCAGCCUCGGUAAUACGGAGGAUCCGAUCGUUAUCCGGAUUUAUUGGGUUUAAAGGGUGCGUAGGCCGCCUUUUAAGUCAGCUGUGAAAGUGUGUGGCUCAACCAUAGAAUUGCCGUUGAAACUGGGGGGCUUGAGUAUGUUUGAGGCAGGCGGAAUGCGUGGUGUAGCGGUGAAAUGCUUAGAUAUCACGCAGAACCCCGAUUGCGAAGGCAGCCUGCCAAGCCAUGACUGACGCUGAUGCACGAAAGCGUGGGGAUCAAACAGGAUUAGAUACCCCGGUAGUC
rnacentral:rRNA from 1 species